rnacentral:lncRNA from 1 species
GUAUCGUACGUGCGGCCAGCCGAGCCGGCGUUUCUGGCCCGCUUCAAGGAACGGGUCGGCUACAGGGAGGGACCCACCGUAGAGACUAAGAGAAUUCAGCCUCAGCCCCCAGAUGAAGAUGGGGAUCACAGUGACAAAGAAGAUGAACAGCCUCAAGUGGUGGUUUUAAAAAAGGGAGACCUGUCAGUUGAAGAAGUCACGAAAAUUAAAGCAGAAAUAAAGGCUGCCAAAGCAGAUGAAGAACCAACUCCAGCCGAUGGAAGAGUCAUAUAUCGAAAACCAGUCAAGCAUCCCUCAGAUGAAAAAUAUUCAGGUUUAACAGCAAGCUCAAAAAAGAAGAAGCCAAAUGAAGAUGAAGUAAAUCAGGACUCGGUCAAAAAGAACUCACAAAAACAAAUUAAAAAUAGUAGCCUCCUUUCUUUUGACAACGAAGACGAAAAUGAGU